GAUGAAGAACGUAGCGAAAUGCGAUAAGUAAUGUGAAUUGCAGAAUUCAGUGAAUCAUCGAAUCUUUGAACGCACAUUGCGCCCGCCAGUAUUCUGGCGAGCAUGCCUGUUCGAGCGUCAUUUCAACCAUCAAGCCCCAGGCUUGUGUUGGAGCCCUGCGGCUGCCGCAGCCUCCCAAAACCAGUGGCGGGCUCGCUAUCACACCGAGUGCAGUAGUUUACUCUUCGCUCAGGGCGUGUGGCGGGUGCUAGCCGUGAAACCCCCAACUUCUCAAGGUUGACCUCGGAUCAGGUAGGAAUACCCGCUGAACUUAAGCAUAUCAAUAAGAGGA
rnacentral:misc_RNA from 1 species